GUGCUAGAAUGCAAGUCGAACGGGGACUUCGGUCCUAGUGGCGAACGGUCGCGUAACACGUAAGCAACCUGCCCUGAAGUGGGGGACAACAUCCCGAAAGGGGUGCUAAUACCGCAUGUGGUCACGAGUCGGCAUCGACUUGUGUCUAAAGAUUUAUCGCUUCAGGAUGGGCUUGCGGCCUAUCAGGUAGUUGGUGGGGUAAUGGCCUACCAAGCCGACGACGGGUAGCUGGUCUGAGAGGACGAUCAGCCGGAUUGGGACUGAGAUACGGCCCAGACUCCUACGGGGGGCAGCAAUUAGGAAUCUUGCGCAAUGGGGGAAACCCUGACGCAGCGACGUCGCGUGAAGGAUGAAGGCCCUCGGGUCGUAAACUUCUUUUGAGUGGGAAGAAAUUUGACGGUACCACUCGAAUAAGCCCCGGCUAACUACGUGCCAGCAGCCGCGGUAAUACGUAGGGGGCGAGCGUUGUCCGAAGUUACUGGGCGUAAAGCGCGCGUAGGCGGUUAUUCAAGUCUGGGGUGAAAGGUUCAGCGCUCAACGUGAACAGUGCCUUGGAUACUGGAUGACUUGAGUCUGGGAGGGGGAAGGGGAAUUCCUGGUGUAGCGGUGAAAUGCGUAGAUAUCAGGAGGAACACCGGUGGCGAAGGCGNCUUCCUGGCCUAAGACUGACGCUGAGGUGCGAAAGCGUGGGGAGCAAACGGGAUUAGAUACCCCCGGUAGUCCACGCCGUAAACGAUGAGUGCUAGGUGUCGGGGGUAUCGA
rnacentral:rRNA from 1 species